AACACAAAAUAUUAGAUAACAGCAAAGCUAAGGAUGGUAAGGCCUAAUACGUAAUGAUUCUAUUUAUUUGCUUUUAUUCAUUUGUGUUUUGUAGCUCAAAUUUUGAGUCUACAAGCUCAGCUAGGGGAAAAGAACAAAUUGGAACGGAACAGUUUCCAAACAGUGAAGGAGGUUUUUCCAAACUCAUCCCUAACUGAACAUGAGGAUGAAUUGGCAUUAGGUGAACACAGUCAGUUAUUCAGUCUACCACCUGACAGUGUGUUAAAGUUAAAUUCUGUUAGUGCUGCACUAAAAGAAUUGUUAGUAAUAAGUCCAUGCAGCAAAGGAAGUGAACAAUUGUGGGACCGUAUUUGGGCUGAAAAUGGGUGUGGUACGUAAACCCAGAAAUAGCAUGUGUUCAACAUAAACAUGAAUUAGAAUUUUAGCAGGGGAUCAAGUCAAGUCUGGAAGUGUUACAGGAUGGAAGAGUGAGCCUACAGUUGAAAAACACUGAAAUUGCAUUACCAUUAAGGUAUGAGGUAAAGUAAUA